rnacentral:rRNA from 1 species
UACAGAGGUCUCAAGCGUUGUUCGGAUUCAUUGGGCGUAAAGGGUGCGUAGGUGGCGCUGUAAGUCAGGUGUGAAAUCUCGGGGCUCAACCCCGAAACUGCACUUGAUACUGCGGUGCUUGAGUACUGGAGAGGAGAUUGGAAUUUACGGUGUAGCAGUGAAAUGCGUAGAUAUCGUAAGGAAGACCAGUGGCGAAGGCGAAUCUCUGGACAGUUACUGACACUGAGGCACGAAGGCUAGGGGAGCAAACAGG